AUCCCCAGAUACAACGGACAAUAUGCUAUUAUAAUCGUAUGGCAUUGUCCUUGCUGUUUGGAGAUAA